UACGUAGGGGGCUAGCGUUGUCCGGAAUCAUUGGGCGUAAAGAGCUCGUAGGCGGCCAGACAGGUCAGCUGUGAAAACUCGAGGCUCAACCUCGAGACGUCGGUUGAAACCGUCUGGCUAGAGUCCGGAAGAGGAGAGUGGAAUUCCCGGUGUAGCGGUGAAAUGCGCAGGAUAUCGGGAAGAACACCCGUGGCGAAGGCGGCUCUCUGGGACGGUACUG
rnacentral:rRNA from 1 species